CAACAUUCCGAUGUUCUUGUUGUAUAUUCUGGUAGGUAUAUUGGUUAAACUCACUCUUGGCAUACAGUUUGAUGUCAUCCAUGUAGAGGAGGUGGUUCAUUGGAGCUCUGCUCUUGAACCUGUGUCUUUAUGAUUACCUGGUUGAGCUGAUUGAGACCUGUGUAGGAUGGCAUGAGGAUAGCGCAUCAACUUGGUAUAUGCCAUGUUUAAUGUUUAUUUGUGUUAUUGUCCUGGAAUUGACUUAUAGUGUUGCUCUCCACUUGCAUAGUGAGGUCUUGAGGAAUGCUCUUAGUGUCUUGCUGAUAUGGUAUACUAUCCAAGCAAUCCAGGAUCUAUGUGUGUGGCAUUGUGCCAUAGGAUUUUUUGUAGUUAAUCCAGGCUGUGCACAGAUUGGUCUUUUUAGUCUUUGAAUCCUACGUGACUGCUUGGUCUACCAGUACCUAGUGUUUUGAGUUUUUGAUGUUUCCAAUC